rnacentral:rRNA from 1 species
CCUGAAUUCGAAAGGGGUUGGAUUCAGAUCUUACCGUUCGUAUACUAGGCGGCCCCGCUGCAGAUGGUGCCGGUCGCCCGCGGCGAUUAAUUUCGCUUGCGGUGUCGUUUCUGGCGUCCACUCGGUGGUGUGCUGGCCAUCUUCACGGAGGGUCGCACUUCUCCCCUAGUAGAAACGUCGCGACCCGUUGGGUGCCGGCCGAAGGCCUGGGAAGGUAGCCCGCGCGUCCUGUGGUGUUCGCCACAGGCGCGCGGACUCCCGGUGACCCGGCCGGCUGCCCGACGGUAUGACCAGAGGAGCCGAUCCGCUGAAUGGGAAACACUGUGGUUUGUGAAGCGUGCGGCCUGGCGCCGAUACGUGCGGGGAUUGAGGUGUAAACCGGGGGUACCCGUGCGAAGCACGGUCCCGGCCCCGCUGCGUCUUCGGUUGCCGGUGUCCUCGCACUGGAUCGAUACUCCCGUCUGCGACGCCCAUCUUCGGAUGGUCUCCCG